rnacentral:lncRNA from 1 species
AAAUUCAGAAACUUCAGAGACAGCUCAGUGAUUUGAAAUUGUCAAAUAAAAAUAUGAAAACUCAGCUGACAAGAGUAAAUGUCCUUAAAGACAAAACAAUUGAAGAGCUCAGGCAAUCUUUAGCAAAUGUUGAAAGGAUGAAAGAGAAGGCAAAUGUUGAAACGAUGAAAGAGAAGGCAGUUGUGAAAACAGAAAACUUGAAAACUACAUUAGACUCUGCAGAGCAAAAGGCAAGAUCAGACAAAGAGAAGACCCAGCAGAUGUUAGAUGCUGUCACUUCUGAGCCCCCAACAGCAAAGAGCGCACCUGAAGAAGUAUCAGGACAAGAACAAGAGGUUUUUUCAAAAUAGUAAAAUUAAAAUUAAUUUAGUUGAAGUGAUAAACACCCACGCCUACUUAGACUGUAACUAACUUGACAAAAGGGAAUAUUGGCUUAUGGAAUCAUGAGUUAAACAACCUAACCUCCAGGUGGGCGGAGAUACACCUGGGCCCCAGGAUCAGCACCUGGAACCUACAAGCCCUUUCUCAUGGUCACUUCUUGGCAUCUAUGUGUCAGCUCAUCUGUCUGACUGCUGGUUGGUUUUCUCCAUGACAGGAAACAUGAUCACUGGCAACCAUGGAGAUUUAUAUGGAGUUUCUGUGACAGGAGAGAGAAUCCCAAGAAAAGGUCUUAUUGACCCAGUUUAGGUCAAGUGCUUAUCCCUGCUAAACCCACAGUGGCUAGGGAUGGGAUAUAUGAUUAUUUUAUAUACUCUAACAAGUGACCAGGAGUGUAGAGUUCUAUGACAUCAUGUGUCAUCAUGUGAAGCUCAGGGGAAACCAUGUGUGUCACUUUCUGUGUCACUGUCUAGGAGAAUAUAGUAGUGCUUCUUAACUUGCUUAGAUUUUCACUAUACUUAUAAAGCAAAUAUUUCGAGAGAAUUUUUUAAAGGCCAACUGAUCAUCUGGGGCAAUUUUUAAAUUAUAUGUCACUUCUCCAUAUAUUAGUUGCUUAUGAAACUUAUACCUUAAGAUAUGCUUAAAACAUAAAGUCAUGAUAUUAGCA